CUGCCAGCCCACCCUCCCGGCAUGAACGUGGGCAGUGGGGUGGCUCCGUUGUUCAGAGAGCAAAUGAGCCGCCCAACUGUUCUGUUCCGUACUUUCUCUCACGUUUCUAUUUGCAGAACUGGGGGCUUUGAGGCAGGCUUGUUCAGAGUGCACUGAAUUUAUGUGGACUGCAUUCCUGGAAAAGAUGGUGGGCAGUCACUGCACGCCUGGCCCAGCAAGGACAUUUUCCCCACAAAGUGUGAUAACCAGAAAACCCCCUGCAGGCUGCCCAAUGUUCCCUGGCUGCAACAUCGCCCUUGCUGUGUAACCAUGUGUCACGAAAGGAUGUCAGUGUUUAAAGCUCAUGCUUCCUUCUUUUGAAGACACUGGCCUGUGGGGUCUUUUGCUUGGAGGCCCCUCAAGUGGCCAGUCAUUGCAUGGAGGGCUGUCCCCCCCUCUUCCCCCACCCCGGGACUCUCCAAGUGCAUGAACUUAGGUCCAUCUGCAGGCCGCUAUGCAAGCAGACUACCAGUAAUUUUCCGUUCAAGUUUCAAUGCCUUGCCUUGAAAAUGGAACACCGCUGACUUUAUUUCUAACACUUUCCCAUGUGUAACUCUGAGAUGACCCACCUGAGAAGGAUGUCUCCUGAAAACUCCUUGUUUCACACACACGUCCUUCACUGGCUCUUUCCCUUGCCAUCCGCUACAGUGCUGGUUUCCCGAAAGUCCUUCCCUUCUCUGCCGUCUCUCAUCUGUGUGGUCCCUUGCACUCCCUGGAGAGAGUGGGUGUGUGUAGACAACUGUUGAAUCUCCAUGUGCAGUUCCGACCUGGGUUCGCCCGCAAACUCCGAGUGAUCCAGACGGUGAUCAUUCAUUCGUCUUCCCUCACCUCCUUUAAUUCUCCUGCAUUGCCAGCCCUGUCCAUAGCUUUAUCCACAAAUCUGGGACUCAUCCCUAAGUAUCUCUCUCCUGACCUUCCUCGGCCAGCUGACCCCCACCUCCUUUGGAGCCUGAGUGUCUUGUGUUGCGUUUUCUUUCUCAUCCCGGUGAUGGCGCUGCCUGCAUUAUUGCUCGCCUGGACAGUCGCGGUGGUCACUAACUUGGGCACUGCCUCCGGCUCUCCGUGGGUCUGAUUCCUGUAGACGUCCAGCAAAGCAGGGACCAGAGCGCUCUUCGAGUCCUCACGCUCUGGCUGGAACUCAGUAACGGUAGCCAUGACCUCAGUGACUGCUCAUGUGACACUUUAGCUGGGUAUACACAGCGACUUUCAACCAGUGUGCUGCUAGAGUGUUUAAAACACGACCUCUUUCCCCUUAGAUUGUCAAAUAAAAAUACAGCAACAGCCAACCCAACAA